AACCCAGACUCCUACGGGAGGCAGCAGUGGGGAAUCUUCCGCAAUGGGCGAAAGCCUGACGGAGCAACGCCGCGUGAUCGAAUGAAGGCCUUCGGGUUGUAAAGAUCUGUUGACAGGGACGAAUAAGCAAUGCGAAUAGUUUUGUGUAUGACGGUACCUGUUUAGAAAGCUCCGGCUAACUACGUGCCAGCAGCCGCGGUAAUACGUAGGGGGCAAGCGUUAUCCGGAUUUACUGGGUGUAAAGGGAGCGUAGGUGGCAUGGUAAGCCAGAAGUGAAAACCCGGGGCUCAACCCCGCGGAUUGCUUUUGGAACUAUCAGGCUGGAGUGCUGGAGGGGUAAGCGGAAUUCCUAGUGUAGCGGUGAAAUGCGUAGAUAUUAGGAGGAACACCGGUGGCGAAGGCGGCUUACUGGACAGAAACUGACACUGAGGCUCGAAAGCGUGGGGAGCAAACAGGAUUAGAUACCCGCGUAUG
rnacentral:rRNA from 1 species